GACGAACGCUGGCGGCGUGCUUAACACAUGCAAGUCGAACGGUGAAGCGAGUGCUUGCACUCGUGGAUCAGUGGCGAACGGGUGAGUAACACGUGAGUAACCUGCCCAUCACUCUGGGAUAAGCACUGGAAACGGUGUCUAAUACUGGAUACGACCAACCCUUGCAUGGGGUGUUGGUGGAAAGAUUUAUCGGUGAUGGAUGGACUCGCGGCCUAUCAGCUCGUUGGCGGGGUAAUGGCCCACCAAGGCGACGACGGGUAGCCGGCCUGAGAGGGUGACCGGCCACACUGGGACUGAGACACGGCCCAGACUCCUACGGGAGGCAGCAGUGGGGAAUAUUGCACAAUGGGCGAAAGCCUGAUGCAGCGACGCCGCGUGAGGGAUGACGGCCUUCGGGUUGUAAACCUCUUUCAGCAGGGAAGAAGCGAAAGUGACGGUACCUGCAGAAGAAGCACCGGCUAACUACGUG
rnacentral:rRNA from 1 species